rnacentral:rRNA from 1 species
UACAGAGGGGGCAAGCGUUAUUCGGAAUUAUUGGGCGUAAAGGGCGCGUAGGCGGCUACACAAGUGGCGGGUGAAAUCCCUCGGCUUAACCGAGGAACUGCCUGCCAGACUGUGUGGCUUGAGACCGGGAGAGGUGAGUGGAAUUCCCAGUGUAGCGGUGAAAUGCGUAGAUAUUGGGAGGAACACCAGUGGCGAAGGCGGCUCACUGGACCGGAACUGACGCUGAGGAGCGAAAGCGUGGGGAGCGAACAGG